AGGCGCUCGAUGUCAACCCGAGGCCCAAUUGUUCUGCUACUUCCGCGUGGUCUUGCUGAUGAACGUAAUCGAAAACGCUUGAACCCGUCAUCUCUACCUGGAAAUUCAGAAAAUUUUCUUCGAUUCAAAUGCUUUUUCGAAAAAUUUGAAGUAUGAUAAAAAUGUAAGUCUCCGAAGAAGCACGUGCGUUUAAAUAUCGUAAUUUACUUGACAAGUUAUGGAAAGGUGACUUAAUUAGAGAAAAAAAAACUGCAGUCGAGGACAGCUUUCUCGAGGCGACUUCAUUGCAGGGAAACUCUGUGGCUCUUAAUAUGAUAGUUUCUAGGAAAAACUGCUUCGACGUGACCGAAACGACAUUCUUUCGUUCGAUGGAAGUAGCAUCUUAAAAUUCCAGGAACUCGCUCAAAGACAAAGCACGUAAGAGUAUGUAAAUCCCGCGAAGUAGAUUACUAGCUCAGAGGGGCACGGUUUUCCAUCGGGGGAGGCUCUCUCAACCAACGGAGAAAGACAGAAAGAAAGGUAGGAAGAGAGGGAGUCAAUUUCAUCGGGCACGGAAACUUUAAUUUCAAUCGAACUUGCCGACAGAAUAAUAAUAAUACUAAAGCCAGUAGUAGGUACCCUCGUAACCCAACAAACAGAGAGGAGGAGGAGGAACAGGAGAAGGAGGAGAAGGAGGAGGAACCUAUUAAGAAUCAACUUCACCAACGAGACUUAGAAAUCGUUAACGCAUCGGAAUGCCACCAAAACUAUAUCCCAUCCCUCGCUAGGGGUUGCGGACUCGAAUCGAAGGAAGGAAGCGAAGACUAUUUAAAAAACGGAUACGUGAUUCGAAAACAAAGAGAAGGAAACGCAAAAUGCAUCGUUUACCUGAAGAAUAUGGGUACCCUGAUGUACAUCGAAGUGGUCCAUAGCAGCGGAUGCCGAUGACCUAACUCGAUUCGCACCUGGAAUCAGAAAACGUGGCGCGUUAUUAAAGGCGAUGAUAUAUGUCCAUCAUUCAUUUGAAUGGGCUCGGUUCAACGCGAUAUUUAAUAUUCUGUUUUUUCAUCGUAGUUAAGUUUAGACGCUUCCGUAAAGAAUAUGACAGGUCCAUAGUUAUCGCUUAGGUAUACGUGUGUUAAAAAGAUAGAUUUGUAUUCGUCAGAUGGCGUCAAAGUUGCAUAUUGCCGUGCAUAUCGCGAACGAUGAAUAGUAAUGAACAAACGGAACUCGAUAAAUCAACAUUCCGUGGUGGUUUCUCUCGAUCACCCAUUUCUGACACAAAUUUCAUUAAAAGAAGGAAAUCACGUCAAUCUAAUAAACAAUUAACUCAUCGUUGAAGAUUCCUCUACGAGGAAUUUUAUAUUAAUCUUAUUUUGUUUAUUUUGUAAGUGAAACGAAUACGAAAGCAUUCACUUUCUCACAAAAUCUUUAUAACGAUUUUACAAAAUUGCCUGAAACCUUUUGACAGAGUUGCGAAUUAAUUCUUUUUUUAAUUUUCAAGUUUCCAAAAAAUCUUUAGAAAUUUACACAGAGAAAAAUCUUUCCAACAUCCUUAAUUAAUGGAUUUUUAAAAGAUUCUGAAAUUUGUAUACAAUUAAAAUGCUCAACAGCAAA